rnacentral:rRNA from 1 species
UAGUGGCAAACGGGUGAGUAACGCGUAGGCAACCUGCCCUUCAGAUGGGGACAACAUUUCGAAAGGAAUGCUAAUACCGAAUGACGUGCAUUGGUCGCAUGACCGAUGCACCAAAGGCCGGGCAACCGGUCACUGAAGGAUGGGCCUGCGUCUGAUUAGCUAGUUGGUGGGGUAACGGCCCACCAAGGCGACGAUCAGUAGCCGGUCUGAGAGGAUGAACGGCCACAUUGGGACUGAGACACGGCCCAAACUCCUACGGGAGGCAGCAGUGGGGAAUCUUCCGCAAUGGGCGCAAGCCUGACGGAGCAACGCCGCGUGAGUGAAGAAGGUUUUCGGAUCGUAAAGCUCUGUUGUCAGGGACGAGAGACUUGAUCAGGAAAUGGGUCAAGGAGGACGGUACCUGGCGAGAAAGCCACGGCUAACUACGUGCCAGCAGCCGCGGUAAUACGUAGGUGGCGAGCGUUGUCCGGAAUUAUUGGGCGUAAAGGGAGCGCAGGUGGGAUUGUAAGUCAGUCUUAAAAGUUCGGGGCUCAACCCCGUGAUGGGAUUGAAACUACAAUUCUUGAGUGCAGGAGAGGAAAGCGGAAUUCCUAGUGUAGCGGUGAAAUGCGUAGAUAUUAGGAGGAACACCAGUGGCGAAGGC